rnacentral:misc_RNA from 1 species
GAUGAAGAACGCAGCGAAAUGCGAUAAGUAAUGUGAAUUGCAGAAUUCAGUGAAUCAUCGAAUCUUUGAACGCACAUUGCGCCCCUUGGUAUUCCGGGGGGCAUGCCUGUUCGAGCGUCAUUUCAACCCUCAAGCUCUGCUUGGUAUUGGGCUCCGUCCUCAGGGACGCGCCUCAAAGACCUCGGCGGUGGCGUCUUGCCUCAAGCGUAGUAGAAAACACCUCGCUUUGGAGUGCUGGGCGUCGCCCGCCGGACGAACCUUUGAAUUUUUCUCAAGGUUGACCUAGGAUCAGGUAGGGAUACCCGCUGAACUUAAGCAUAUCAAUAAGCGGAGGA